rnacentral:other from 1 species
GGUGCUCGACCCUGUGCGUGGCUCGGCGCACAUUGUUGAACCAAUGUGAAAGCAGAGGGAGCCUGCGUCCGACAGGCCCGUAAGGGCUGGGUCGGCAGGGCACCCACCUGGUUAAUCCAGGUUCGCAUCGCGUCGGGACUAUCGGCAGGGUGGGGCACUU